UAAUACGGUAGGGGUGCAAGCGUUAAUCGGGAAUUACUGGGCGUAAAGCGUGCGCAGGCGGUUGUGCAAGACAGAUGUGAAAUCCCCGGGGCUUAACCUGGGAAUUGCAUUUGUGACUGCACGGCUAGAGUGUGUCAGAGGGGGGGUAGAAUUCCACGUGUAGCAGUGAAAUGCGUAGAGAUGUGGAGGAAUACCGAUGGCGAAGGCAGCCCCCUGGGAUAACACUGACGCUCAUGCACGAAAGCGUGGGGAGCAAACAGGAUUAGAUACCCUGGUAGUCCACGCCCUAAACGAUGUCAACUAGUUGUCGGGUCUUAAUUGACUUGGUAACGCAGCUAACGCGUGAAGUUGACCGCCUGGGGGAGUACGGUCGCAAGAUUAAAACUCAAAGGAAUUGACGGGGACCCGCACAAGCGGUGGAUGAUGUGGAUUAAUUCGAUGCAACGCGAAAACCUUACCUACCCUUGACAUGGCAGGAAUCCCUGAGAGAUCAGGGAGUGCUCGAAA
rnacentral:rRNA from 1 species